ncrna:unclassified sequences pemK RNA
AUAAUGAUACUUGCGUCCAGUCUCAGGUCGAGCGUUGAAGCGGAAGAAAUUCCGUGUGCCGUCGCAACCAAAGAGGGCGUCCCGGCGAGAACCGCGGGGAGGUGAAAUUCCUAUGA